ACGCCGACACCUACGGGAGCAGCAGUGGGGAAUAUUGCACAAUGGGGGAAACCCUGAUGCAGCGACGCCGCGUGGAGGAAGAAGGUCUUCGGAUUGUAAACUCCUGUUGUUGGGGAAAAAGAGGAUGGUACCCAACAAGGAAGUGACGGCUAACUACGUGUCAGCAGCCGCGGUAAUCUGAGCGGGCUGGCAAGGC
rnacentral:rRNA from 1 species